CAGCAGCCGCGGUAAUACGAAGGGGGCUAGCGUUGCUCGGAAUGACUGGGCGUAAAGGGCGCGUAGGCGGCGAUCAAAGUCAGGCGUGAAAUUCCUGGGCUCAACCUGGGGGCUGCGCUUGAUACUUGGUUGCUUGAGUGGGGAAGAGGGUCGUGGAAUUCCCAGUGUAGAGGUGAGAUUCGUAGAUAUUGGGAAGAACACCGGUGGCGAAGGCGGCGACCUGGUCCUUGACUGACGCUGAGGCGCGAAAGCGUGGGGAGCAAACAGGAUUAGAUACCCCGGUAGUCCCUGUCUCUUAUAC
rnacentral:rRNA from 1 species